rnacentral:misc_RNA from 1 species
GAUGAAGAACGCAGCGAAAUGCGAUACUUGGUGUGAAUUGCAGAAUCCCGUGAACCAUCGAGUCUUUGAACGCAAGUUGCGCCCGAAGCCAUUAGGCCGAGGGCACGCCUGCCUGGGCGUCACACGUCGUUGCCCCCCCAUCUACUCCUUCGGGAUUGCGGGGGGCGGAUGAUGGCCUCCCGUGCGCCACGCCGCGCGGUUGGCAUAAAUGCCAAGUCCUCGGCGACGCACGCCACGACAAUCGGUGGUUGCGAAACCUCGGUUGCCCGUCGUGUGCGGUCGUCGCGCAUCGAGGGCUCGAAAAAAUUGCCGGGUUCCGGCUCGGCUUUCAACGCGACCCCAGGUCAGGCGGGGUUACCCGCUGAAUUUAAGCAUAUCAAUAAGCGGAUGA